GGGUUGUGAGGUUAAGCGACUAAGCGUACACGGUGGAUGCCCUGGCAGUCAGAGGCGAUGAAGGACGUGCUAAUCUGCGAUAAGCGUCGGUAAGGUGAUAUGAACCGUUAUAACCGGCGAUUUCCGAAUGGGGAAACCCAGUGUGUUUCGACACACUAUCAUUAACUGAAUCCAUAGGUUAAUGAGGCGAACCGGGGGAACUGAAACAUCUAAGUACCCCGAGGAAAAGAAAUCAACCGAGAUUCCCCCAGUAGCGGCGAGCGAACGGGGAGCAGCCCAGAGCCUGAAUCAGUGUGUGUGUUAGUGGAAGCGUCUGGAAAGGCGCGCGAUACAGGGUGACAGCCCCGUACACAAAAAUGCACAUAUUGUGAGCUCGAUGAGUAGGGCGGGACACGUGGUAUCCUGUCUGAAUAUGGGGGGACCAUCCUCCAAGGCUAAAUACUCCUGACUGACCGAUAGUGAACCAGUACCGUGAGGGAAAGGCGAAAAGAACCCCGGCGAGGGGAGUGAAAAAGAACCUGAAACCGUGUACGUACAAGCAGUGGGAGCACGCUUAGGCGUGUGACUGCGUACCUUUUGUAUAAUGGGUCAGCGACUUAUAUUCUGUAGCAAGGUUAACCGAAUAGGGGAGCCGAAGGGAAACCGAGUCUUAACUGGGCGUUAAGUUGCAGGGUAUAGACCCGAAACCCGGUGAUCUAGCCAUGGGCAGGUUGAAGGUUGGGUAACACUAACUGGAGGACCGAACCGACUAAUGUUGAAAAAUUAGCGGAUGACUUGUGGCUGGGGGUGAAAGGCCAAUCAAACCGGGAGAUAGCUGGUUCUCCCCGAAAGCUAUUUAGGUAGCGCCUCGUGAAUUCAUCUCCGGGGGUAGAGCACUGUUUCGGCAAGGGGGUCAUCCCGACUUACCAACCCGAUGCAAACUGCGAAUACCGGAGAAUGUUAUCACGGGAGACACACGGCGGGUGCUAACGUCCGUCGUGAAGAGGGAAACAACCCAGACCGCCAGCUAAGGUCCCAAAGUCAUGGUUAAGUGGGAAACGAUGUGGGAAGGCCCAGACAGCCAGGAUGUUGGCUUAGAAGCAGCCAUCAUUUAAAGAAAGCGUAAUAGCUCACUGGUCGAGUCGGCCUGCGCGGAAGAUGUAACGGGGCUAAACCAUGCACCGAAGCUGCGGCAGCGACGCUUAUGCGUUGUUGGGUAGGGGAGCGUUCUGUAAGCCUGUGAAGGUGUGCUGUGAGGCAUGCUGGAGGUAUCAGAAGUGCGAAUGCUGACAUAAGUAACGAUAAAGCGGGUGAAAAGCCCGCUCGCCGGAAGACCAAGGGUUCCUGUCCAACGUUAAUCGGGGCAGGGUGAGUCGACCCCUAAGGCGAGGCCGAAAGGCGUAGUCGAUGGGAAACAGGUUAAUAUUCCUGUACUUGGUGUUACUGCGAAGGGGGGACGGAGAAGGCUAUGUUGGCCGGGCGACGGUUGUCCCGGUUUAAGCGUGUAGGCUGGUUUUCCAGGCAAAUCCGGAAAAUCAAGGCUGAGGCGUGAUGACGAGGCACUACGGUGCUGAAGCAACAAAUGCCCUGCUUCCAGGAAAAGCCUCUAAGCAUCAGGUAACAUCAAAUCGUACCCCAAACCGACACAGGUGGUCAGGUAGAGAAUACCAAGGCGCUUGAGAGAACUCGGGUGAAGGAACUAGGCAAAAUGGUGCCGUAACUUCGGGAGAAGGCACGCUGAUAUGUAGGUGAGGUCCCUCGCGGAUGGAGCUGAAAUCAGUCGAAGAUACCAGCUGGCUGCAACUGUUUAUUAAAAACACAGCACUGUGCAAACACGAAAGUGGACGUAUACGGUGUGACGCCUGCCCGGUGCCGGAAGGUUAAUUGAUGGGGUUAGCCGCAAGGCGAAGCUCUUGAUCGAAGCCCCGGUAAACGGCGGCCGUAACUAUAACGGUCCUAAGGUAGCGAAAUUCCUUGUCGGGUAAGUUCCGACCUGCACGAAUGGCGUAAUGAUGGCCAGGCUGUCUCCACCCGAGACUCAGUGAAAUUGAACUCGCUGUGAAGAUGCAGUGUACCCGCGGCAAGACGGAAAGACCCCGUGAACCUUUACUAUAGCUUGACACUGAACAUUGAGCCUUGAUGUGUAGGAUAGGUGGGAGGCUUUGAAGUGUGGACGCCAGUCUGCAUGGAGCCGACCUUGAAAUACCACCCUUUAAUGUUUGAUGUUCUAACGUUGACCCGUAAUCCGGGUUGCGGACAGUGUCUGGUGGGUAGUUUGACUGGGGCGGUCUCCUCCUAAAGAGUAACGGAGGAGCACGAAGGUUGGCUAAUCCUGGUCGGACAUCAGGAGGUUAGUGCAAUGGCAUAAGCCAGCUUGACUGCGAGCGUGACGGCGCGAGCAGGUGCGAAAGCAGGUCAUAGUGAUCCGGUGGUUCUGAAUGGAAGGGCCAUCGCUCAACGGAUAAAAGGUACUCCGGGGAUAACAGGCUGAUACCGCCCAAGAGUUCAUAUCGACGGCGGUGUUUGGCACCUCGAUGUCGGCUCAUCACAUCCUGGGGCUGAAGUAGGUCCCAAGGGUAUGGCUGUUCGCCAUUUAAAGUGGUACGCGAGCUGGGUUUAGAACGUCGUGAGACAGUUCGGUCCCUAUCUGCCGUGGGCGCUGGAGAACUGAGGGGGGCUGCUCCUAGUACGAGAGGACCGGAGUGGACGCAUCACUGGUGUUCGGGUUGUCAUGCCAAUGGCACUGCCCGGUAGCUAAAUGCGGAAGAGAUAAGUGCUGAAAGCAUCUAAGCACGAAACUUGCCCCGAGAUGAGUUCUCCCUGACCCUUUAAGGGUCCUGAAGGAACGUUGAAGACGACGACGUUGAUAGGCCGGGUGUGUAAGCGCAGCGAUGCGUUGAGCUAACCGGUACUAAUGAACCGUGAGGCUUAACCUUACAACGCCGAAG
rnacentral:rRNA from 1 species